ACCUUGAUUCCAGGCCAUGCCGCGUGUGUGAGAAGGCCUUAUGGUCGUAAAGCACUUUAGCGAGACGAGGCUACUUUAGAUAAUACCUAGAGAUAGUGGACGUUACUCGCAGAAUAAGCACCGGCUAACUCUGUGCCAGCAGCCGCGGUAAUACAGAGGGUGCAAGCGUUAAUCGGAUUUACUGGGCGUAAAGCGCGCGUAGGCGGCUAAUUAAGUCAAAUGUGAAAUCCCCGAGCUUAACUUGGGAAUUGCAUUCGAUACUGGUUAGCUAGAGUGUGGGAGAGGAUGGUAGAAUUCCAGGUGUAGCGGUGAAAUGCGUAGAGAUCUGGAGGAAUACCGAUGGCGAAGGCAGCCAUCUGGCCUAACACUGACGCUGAGGUGCGAAAGCAUGGGGAGCAAACAGGAUUAGAUACCCUGGUAGUCCAUGCCGUAAACGAUGUCUACUAGCCGUUGGGGCCUUUGAGGCUUUAGUGGCGCAGCUAACGCGAUAAGUAGACCGCCUGGGGAGUACGGUCGCAAGACUAAAACUCAAAUGAAUUGACGGGGGCCCGCACAAGCGGUGGAGCAUGUGGUUUAAUUCGAUGCAACGCGAAGAACCUUACCUGGCCUUGACAUAGUAAGAACUUUCCAGAGAUGGAUUGGUGCCUUCGGGAACUUACAUACAGGUGCUGCAUGGCUGUCGUCAGCUCGUGUCGUGAGAUGUUGGGUUAAGUCCCGCAACGAGCGCAACCCUUUUCCUUAUUUGCCAGCGAGUAAUGUCGGGAACUUUAAGGAUACUGCCAGUGACAAACUGGAGGAAGGCGGGGACGACGUCAAGUCAUCAUGGCCCUUACGGCCAGGGCUACACACGUGCUACAAUGGUCGGUACAAAGGGUUGCUACACAGCGAUGUGAUGCUAAUCUCAAAAAGCCGAUCGUAGUCCGGAUUGGAGUCUGCAACUCGACUCCAUGAAGUCGGAAUCGCUAGUAAUCGCGGAUCAGAAUGCCGCGGUGAAUACGUUCCCGGGCCUUGUACACACCGCCCGUCACACCAUGGGAGUUUGUUGCACCAGAAGUAGCUAGCCUAACUGCAAAGAGGGCGG
rnacentral:rRNA from 1 species